rnacentral:rRNA from 1 species
UUGGAGGGCAAGUCUGGUGCCAGCAGCCGCGGUAAUUCCAGCUCCAAUAGCGUAUAUUAAAGUUGUUGCAGUUAAAAAGCUCGUAGUUGAAUUUCGAGAUCAAAUUGUUGGUCGUGCCUUGGUACGUACUGGCAUUAUUGGUUUCUCCCUUCUGACGAACCAUGAUGUCAUUAAUUUGGUGUCAUGGGGAAUCAGGACUGUUACUUUGAAAAAAUUAGAGUGUUUAAAGCAGGCUCGCGCUUGAAUACAUUAGCAUGGAAUAAUGAAAUAGGACGUUUAAUUCUAUUUUGUUGGUUUCUAGGAUUGACGUAAUGAUUAAUAGGGAUAGUUGGGGGCAUUAGUAUUCAAUUGUCAGAGGUGAAAUUCUUGGAUUUAUUGAAGACUAACUACUGCGAAAGCAUUUGCCAAGGAUGUUUUCAUUAAUCAAGAACGAAAGUUAGGGGAUCGAAGACGAUCAGAUACCGUCGUAGUCUUAACCAUAAACUAUGCCGACUAGGGGAUCGGGAUGAUGUUAAUUUUUAA